GUCAGAUUGGCCGAGCGGUCUAAGGCGCCAGAUUUAAGCUCUGGUUCCCGUAAGGGAGCGUGGGUACGAACCACACAUCUGACA
rnacentral:tRNA from 1 species